UGUCGCUAGUUUCACACUACUUGAUUUCUCAUGUUGCAGUAAGCUAAACGAUUUCAUCUCUUACGUGACUUGUUGUUCUUGCAGGUAACUGUGUAACCGUCUGACUGAUAAAGAAGUUGUUAAAUGUCUUUACGUUUAGAAACAUAAUCAAAAAAAAUUCAUCCAAGCAGAUGCGAAUAGCCUACAAUGUCAGUACUCAAACCACCAGUAGCAGGCUUAGGACUAGAGUUUGCCAGUCAGACCACUACACCUUUGCCAGCACCACCACCCAGCAAGCUUCAUCAACUCCAGCCAUGCCGAGUUUACCAAUCAGACCUACACCUCUGUCAAAUUCGCUCACAACGCUGCCAGUAACACCCCAGCAAGGUAGAACUGCAUUUUCAUUAAUCUGGCACCAAUAUCAAGGGAGAAACAAGCCAUGAAUGUCUGUCACAACUUCUUUGCAUCUUUACUUUCCUUACAUCUGAAGAGUGUGUUACAUAUAUCAUUAUUAAAAAUAAUUUUAAUAAAUUGUUUAAGCAUGUACAAUAAAUAAAGCAUGUAAAUGAGCAUGUAAAAUAAAUAAACAAAAGCAAGUAAAAUAAAUAAAUAAACAAAAUGUAUUGAACCUAAUAGGCUACUAUGUGUGGUGAGUCUGUGUGAUAGUUGCUGAGGAUAAAUGUUUUUAUAUUGGAUUAUUAAAUUACAGAAUACAUUUAUAGGUUUCUCAUCAGCAGGCACUGUCUUCACCUUAGUAAAUUUGGUAACUUUGGUAAGUCCUGUAAAUAAUUGUAAAUUGUUCUGAUUGAGGGCAAAUGGAAAGUGUUAUAAUGUAUUAUUGCUAUUUUAGUGCAUCAUUUUCAUUAUUAUGGCCAUAAAUAAGGCCAAUUAGAAGCUGGUGGGUAGUAAGCGGCAAAAGGGUGGCCCUUUAUCUGGAGCCGCUUCUGAGCCGCCGCUGGACAGCCAGAGAACUGAUGAGCAAAACUCCAGCGGGCCACUGGUGGUUACCGCCGUUGGACCGCCAACUCUGCCGCUGGUUUGUAACAGUAACUUUAGCAUUGCCCAUUAAAUGAUUGCAAAAUAUUUAUUGAGGUGAGUUUAACAAGUGUAAUUUCAUUGGCAUAUAAUUCAGGCCUAUAGUAGAUGGCUAAAUGGCUACAGUAGAAGGAUACACGAAAAGCCCAAACUACCAAAAUCUUCAUAUUUUAUUACCACAGUUUCUAUCUAUAGGCCUCUCUUAUUUGGUAUACUGACUAGACAUUAUUGAACAAACAUAGGCUAUUCAUCUGUAUUUCAGUAUCUCAGUAGCCUAGGUUAAAGUAUUUUUUAGAUACCUCCCUGAAAUUACUUUUUGCAGGUUGUGUUCUAUAUCUGUCUUCUAUACGUUCUGACGUUACUGUUAAAAUGGCGUAACUGUUAAAUUCCAAUAUAGUGAGUAGGCUAUUGGCAAAACCGAUUGGCAUUUUUAUGUUGAGCCGGCAGGGGGCUCAGUUUAAAAAGUAACUAAGUUCGCACACACACAUCAACAGAUUCACACGCACAGAUAAACACACUUCCACGGAUUCCACACACACACACACACACAUGCGCACACAUGCACAUUCACACACACAGACAGACACACACACAUCUUUAUACAAGCAAACUCACACAUGCACACACUCAUGUACACAUGAGCUGCAAGAGUAGGAGAAAUACAUACAGUAUAUUGCACAAAUCGGAGAUAAGGCAGGUUUAGACUUGCUGCAGACAACGCGUUCGUGUUCGUAUCAUGACUGCCUCGCGUAUUUUGCGGUCGUUUGGUGCGUCGGUCGUGCACGUCGUCGCAAGCGAACAUGACGCGUCCGCGAGAUGCAAUACUGAUAAGAAAGUAGGGGGCGAUCACUACAAAAAAAGGUGACUGCAAGAUGCAUUAUCGACAUCGAAGCUGGGGGCAAUCAUGAGAGUAAACAAUGGCACAUGGCCACAUCCACAUCUGAUGUUACUAUUCUCCCCCUAGUGAAGACCUCCAGUAGGGUGCGUAAUGCUGCAGCGAGUCUGUACACCGGACACAGCAGGUCGCACACGGGCGCAUAUGCUUACGGUUGGUCUAACAGCAAGUAUAAUCCCAGCCAUACAGGAAAGUUGACGAGCGUAAUUCGUUUUGGAGAGAAUGUGCAGAACUGA